rnacentral:misc_RNA from 1 species
GAUGAAGAACGUAGCGAACUGCGAUAAGUAAUGUGAAUUGCAGAAUUCAGUGAAUCAUCGAAUCUUUGAACGCACAUUGCGCCCGCCAGCAUUCUGGCGGGCAUGCCUGUUCGAGCGUCAUUUCAACCCUCGACCUCCCCUUGGGGAGGUCGGCGUUGGGGACCGGCAGCACACCGCCGGCCCUGAAAUGGAGUGGCGGCCCGUCUGCGGCGACCUCUGCGUAGUAAUACAGCUCGCACCGGAACCCCGACGCGGCCACGCCGUAAAACACCCAACUUCUGAACGUUGACCUCGAAUCAGGUAGGACUACCCGCUGAACUUAAGCAUAUCAAUAAGCGGAGGA